GUCCAACUCGUCCCCAUCUUAUUUCUCAUCUUCCUCUUUUAGGCCACUUUGAGCUGGAUGUACGGAAGUGGAGUUCUGCUUAAGCAAUGGAAUCGUUUCAUGUGGGGUGAUUUGACUUGAAUAUAGUGCAGGGUCGGCAGCUGGUCCUAAAUUCCUGGUGGUCCUGAAGCCCUGACCCGGCUUGUCAGGAUUGUAUGCUGUGAAUGGCUUCCACGGCCACCCGGUCAGAUGGAUCUAUAUGUAGGAGCUGCAGUAGCACGCCGUCAGUGAAGGCUUUGAGCGAGCCCAUCUCGAAGAAAGAUCACUGACUACCACAUGACAGUAGUUAUCUCCUGACCAAAUAGGUUUUCUCAAGUUCAUUUGGUUACAUUGACCUUUGACAUUUGACUCAUGUGUUUGUGUUAUCAUGCUGCAAUGCAAAGACAUUACAACUCAAAAGCACUGUAUUAAAAUAUUGCAUUUGCCUAACCAAUAAAGUAUUUUUAUUAACUAAGUGAUUUAUUUUUUAAACUUCUGAGUGACUGGAGAAAAAUAAUAGGUCCCUUGGAAAA
rnacentral:lncRNA from 1 species